rnacentral:rRNA from 1 species
GGGCCUCAAAUCUGACAAGAGUACCCGCUGAACUUAA